GAUGAAGAACGUAGCGAAAUGCGAUAAGUAAUGCGAAUUGCAGAAUUCAGUGAGUCAUCGAAUGUUUGAACGCACAUUGCGCCCUGUGGUAUUCCGCAGGGCAUGCCUGUUCGAGCGUCAUUUCAACCCUCAAGCUCUGCUUGGUGUUGGGCCCUGCCCGCUGCGGCCGGCCCUAAAGACAGUGGCGGUGCCGCCUGGCCCUGAGCGUAGUACAUCUCUCGCUCCAGUGCCCGGUGGUAGCCUGCCAGAACCCCAACUCUCGUGGUUGACCUCGGAUCAGGUAGGGAUACCCGCUGAACUUAAGCAUAUCAAUAAGCGGAGGA
rnacentral:misc_RNA from 1 species